UACGUAGGGUGCGAGCGUUAAUCGGAAUUACUGGGCGUAAAGGGUGCGCAGGCGGCCGCGCAAGUCGGGUGUGAAAUCCCCGAGCUUAACUUGGGAAUUGCGCUCGAAACUACGUGGCUGGAGUGUGGCAGAGGAAGGUGGAAUUCCACGUGUAGCGGUGAAAUGCGUAGAGAUGUGGAGGAACACCGAUGGCGAAGGCAGCCUUCUGGGCCAACACUGACGCUCAUGCACGAAAGCGUGGGGAGCAAACAGG
rnacentral:rRNA from 1 species